AAGGAAUGGGCAACGGUAGGUCAGCAUGCCCCGAAUUAUCUGGGCUACACGCGGGCUACAAUGGGUGGGACAAUGGGUAUCGACGACCGAAAGGUGAAGGCAAUCUCCUAAACCCAUCCGUAGUUCGGAUUGUGGGCUGCAACUCGCCCACAUGAAGCUGGAAUCUGUAGUAAUCGUGUCUCAAAAUGGCACGGUGAAUAUGUCCCUGCUCCUU
rnacentral:rRNA from 1 species